GACGAACGCUGGCGGCGUGCUUAACACAUGCAAGUCGAACGCUGAAGGCCUGGCUUUUGUUGGGUUGGAUGAGUGGCGAACGGGUGAGUAACACGUGAGUAACCUGCCCUCUUCUUUGGGAUAACGCCCGGAAACGGGUGCUAAUACUGGAUAUUCACUGAUCUUCGCAUGGGGGUUGGUGGAAAGGUUUGUUCUGGUGGGGGAUGGGCUCGCGGCCUAUCAGCUUGUUGGUGGGGUGAUGGCCUACCAAGGCUUUGACGGGUAGCCGGCCUGAGAGGGUGACCGGUCACAUUGGGACUGAGAUACGGCCCAGACUCCUACGGGAGGCAGCAGUGGGGAAUAUUGCACAAUGGGCGAAAGCCUGAUGCAGCGACGCCGCGUGAGGGAUGGAGGCCUUCGGGUUGUAAACCUCUUUCGCCCAUGGUCAAGCCGCAACUGUGGGUUGUGGUGAGGGUAGUGGGUAAAGAAGCGCCGGCUAACUACGUG
rnacentral:rRNA from 1 species